rnacentral:rRNA from 1 species
UCGGCAUCGAGGAUGGAUGAAAGGUGGCCUCUAUUUAUAAGCUAUCACUGAAGGAGGGGAUUGCGUCUGAUUAGCUAGUUGGAGGGGUAACGGCCACCAAGGCAAUGAUCAGUAGCCGGUCUGAGAGGAUGAACGGCCACAUUGGGACUGAGACACGGCCCAGACUCCUACGGGAGGCAGCAUG